AAAGCUCAUUGUCAACUGGUCGCAAUACUAUGGAAAUAGAGACAGUAUCAGUGACAAACUGAGGGAAUGAUGGAAAAAUCUAAUCAUGAAACAGGAAGACAGAAGGACAAAAAACACACUCAGAGCCACAAUAUAUCCAAAGCAGCCCCAGAAAAGAUGACUAUGGGCCGAGGGAAAGUCACAGCGGCCCAUUGGCCCAUGCCCUUGACACAUGAGCUCCAGAUGUCCCUGCGCUGAAGGUUCAUCCAAGGCUCCAUCCCCUUCCCUCUGCACCAGCUCACCUUGGACGAACACCAUUUCACCUCUAGGGGCAUAAUCCUCACCAACAACAACUGCUUUUAUAGAAUGGUUUAUCUCAAUUCAUGGCACUCAAGUACUUUCUCCAGCAGAAACAGCUCAAGCCAUGGUUCACAGCAUCUCAACAAUGCCCACAACAGUCUUUCACCAUAGGUCUGUGUGCACUUCAAGUUGUUUAUGGCUAUGCUGGUGUUGCCACGUGCUGCCCGAGAAAGUUUUGUAAGAUCCCGAGAUAGUUUUGGGAGAUCCCGAGAAACUUUUGCUAUAUGUGGACAGAGGAGCUACAAAGUAGGAGGACCGCUGGACGGAUGGUGGCGGAGUUGAGCGAAAGCAGAUGUGGAGAGCAGUGCGCAAACGGUGGAGUGAGAAAAACAAGACUUUGAAUUUUUAGCGAAUUUUUAGGUGGAGGCAAAACUGUGGGAUAUACAGUACAGUAGAUCAAAUCUCCAUACAGCAACAAGUGGUCGGCAAAGUUACCGAUUUUCGUGGGAAAACCACCUGUGGAGGGGCUGAGUCAUGGCAAAUAGUAGUGGGGGAACAUCAAAGGAAGAGGAGAUUGAUUUGUCAACAGUGGCUAGCAGUAGGAGAGAAGUGGGAAGGAAAAAACAUAACCACGGAUUAAGGGUAAAUAAAGGGAAAAGAGGGAUAAAGGAAGAAAAAGAAAAAAGAGAAGGAUGGAAAAAAACUCUGAAGGGGUUUAAGAUUAUAAUAAAUUCAAGAAGGGUGUCACGGUCUGGACUUUUGUUUUCCAUUUCCUGUGUUUAUAUUGACAUUUCCUGUUUUGGUUCCUCCGGGUUUUUAGUUCUCGCUUUACUUUUCUGAUCACAUGCUCCGUCAGCUGUUUCUGUUUAGUAAUUACGCUCAAGCACUCACCUGUUCCGUUUGCCAUAUUGUUUGUUCAUUCAUCCGUUCAACUCUCCAGCGCUCGUAACAAGUAAGUCCUGUCGUGUACCAGUCGUGGAUCGUGUUCUGACCUAGCCUUCCCUGUCCCCUGUCUGUACCGUUGCCUUUAUCGUGUUGACCUGUGUACUGACUUUGCCUGCCUGACCACAAGCCUGAUUAAACUCUCUCUUACCUGAGUCCAUGUGAGCUGUGUGUGUGGGUCUUUCCCUGUGAACUCUGACAAUCUGGCCACACUCGGACCCAGCCAGCCGUAAUCAGACAAAUGUUUUUCUUUUUCUUUUGCUUGUUUUUUUUCACCAUGCCGUUCACCUGGCCGGGAUUACCGGAGGACCUCCGUUGGUGCUUCACGAAGCUCGUGAAGGAAUAGCAUGAAAUGAAGGGAUUGUGUUUAAUAAAUGCUUUAGUUUUUCACAGUUUUAUGCAAUCUUUUUGUUCAACCCAUGGAAUUAAAGCUGAGAGUCUGCACUUCAA